CAAAGACUUCACAGCACCCUUAGCAGCAGGGAAAUGUGGAGUGGAAGGUGCUAAAACUGUAAUUAGAACAAGGCAUCUGUCUCCCAGCUCCUACUGAGCAGCUACUAAUCAAUGUGAUCACUUGCUUUGAGUAAGGAAGUGCUCACCCAUGGUUCCGCUGGACAUUUUCCCAGCCACUAGCAGACUGGAUGCUGGUAGAAAGUACCCUUGGCUUGGAGAGACAGAAAUUGGAGUCCCUUUUGGGCCCGAGAACUAAAUAGCCUUCUCGUUACUUAUUCAAGAGAAGAAGCUGGAGAGCUGCAGAGGUACAGCAGUGCUGGUGAGGGAGCAGAAGGUAAGCUGAGGGCAAACACAAGCUAACACCCAUCAAUUUCCCCUCCCCUACCCUGCAUGGGAUAUACGUGACAUUCCUCAU
rnacentral:lncRNA from 1 species